CUCUCACGCUGCAUGGUGUUCCUGUCACACAAGCAUGAAGGAAAGGGAGCUGUUCUGGCCAUAUGCUGGUAUCUGUAUUUCGACUGGAUGAUACCCCUGUGCUUUACACACUUGAGGUAUUCGCCGGAUGACGUUAGAUGAAAAAGGGUGCGCCGUCGGAAUGGUCCAGAGUGGCAUAUCAAACCGAGAGGUCAGCAGGAUAUAGAUGCAUGCAUGCAUUGCUUACCCAGGUAUUACUGAGGUUCUCAGGCACUGACUUGUAUUGUGAACUUGUGUCAUGGACAUGAGCACAAUGUCAUUUGGAACAUUACAGCAGUUUAUUCUAGUACCUGAUCAAACUUUAUCAUGUCAAUUCCCACAACUGGUUACUCAGAUAUAAGAGAUGAAGGUCAAUUUCCAGGAUGGUGGGGGAUUUUCAUGGAGGUGAG
rnacentral:lncRNA from 1 species